CGAAGGGUGCAAGCGUUACUCGGAAUACUGGGCGUAAAGCGUGCGUAGGUGGUUCGUUAAGUCUGUCGUGAAAGCCCCGGGCUCAACCUGGGAAUGGCGAUGGAUACUGGCGGGCUAGAGUGCGGUAGAGGAGAGUGGAAUUCCCGGUGUAGCAGUGAAAUGCGUAGAGAUCGGGAGGAACAUCAGUUGCGAAGGCGGCUCUCUGGACCAGCACUGACACUGAGGCACGAAAGCGUGGGGAGCAAACAGGAUUAGAUACCCUGGUAGUCCACGCCCUAAACGAUGCGAACUGGACGUUGGGAGCAAUCAGGCUCUCAGUGUCGAAGCUAACGCGUUAAGUUCGCCGCCUGGGGAGUACGGUCGCAAGACUG
rnacentral:rRNA from 1 species